rnacentral:rRNA from 1 species
AUCCCAGCUUGCUGGGGGAUUAGUGGCGAACGGGUGAGUAACACGUGAGUAACCUGCCCUUGACUCUGGGAUAAGCCUGGGAAACCGGGUCUAAUACUGGAUAUGACCUUCUGGCGCAUGCCAUGUUGGUGGAAAGCUUUAUUGCGGUUUUGGAUGGACUCGCGGCCUAUCAGCUUGUUGGUGGGGUAAUGGCCUACCAAGGCGACGACGGGUAGCCGGCCUGAGAGGGUGGACGGCCACACUGGGACUGAGACACGGCCCAGACUCCUACGGGAGGCAGCAGUGGGGAAUAUUGCACAAUGGGCGCAAGCCUGAUGCAGCGACGCCGCGUGGGGGAUGAAGGCCUUCGGGUUGUAAACCUCUUUCAGUAGGGAAGAAGCGAAAGUGACGGUACCUGCAGAAGAAGCGCCGGCUAACUACGUGCCAGCAGCCGCGGUAAUACGUAGGGCGCAAGCGUUAUCCGGAAUUAUUGGGCGUAAAGAGCUCGUAGGCGGUUUGUCGCGUCUGCCGUGAAAGUCCGGGGCUUAACCCCGGAUCUGCGGUGGGUACGGGCAGACUAGAGUGAUGUAGGGGAGACUGGAAUUCCUGGUGUAGCGGUGAAAUGCGCAGAUAUCAGGAGGAACACCGAUGGCGAAGGCAGGUCUCUGGGCAUUAACUGACGCUGAGGAGCGAAAGCAUGGGGAGCGAACAGGAUUAG